UCCCUUGUGGCUCAGCCGGUAAAGCGUCUGCCUACAAUUCAGGAGACCCAGGUUCAAUCCCUGGAUCAGGAA
rnacentral:tRNA from 1 species